CGGCGGACGGGUGAGUAAUGCCUAGGAAUCUGCCUGGUAGUGGGGGACAACGUUUCGAAAGGAACGCUAAUACCGCAUACGUCCUACGGGAGAAAGCAGGGGACCUUCGGGCCUUGCGCUAUCAGAUGAGCCUAGGUCGGAUUAGCUAGUUGGUGGGGUAAUGGCUCACCAAGGCGACGAUCCGUAACUGGUCUGAGAGGAUGAUCAGUCACACUGGAACUGAGACACGGUCCAGACUCCUACGGGAGGCAGCAGGC
rnacentral:rRNA from 1 species